rnacentral:rRNA from 1 species
GACGAACGCUGGCGGCGUGCCUAAUACAUGCAAGUCGAGCGAGCUUGCCUAGAUGAUUUUGAUGCUUGCAUCAAAUGAAACUAGAUACAAGCUAGGGGCGGAAGGGUGAGUAACACGUGGGUAACCUGCACAACAGACUGGGAUAACAGCUGGAAACAGAUGCUAAUACAGGAUAACAAAAAUAGACGCAAUGCUAGAGGUUGAAAGAUGGGUUUUCUAUAACUCUUGGAUGGACGUGCGGUGCAUUAGCUAGUUGGUAAGGUAACGGCUUACCAAGGCAAUGAUGCAUAGCCGAGUUGAGAGACUGAUCGGCCACAUUGGGACUGAGACACGGCCCAUACUCCUACGGGAGGCAGCAGUAGGGAAUCUUCCACAAUGGACGAAAGUCUGAUGGAGCAACGCCGCGUGAGUGAAGAAGGGUUUCGGCUCGUAAAGCUCUGUUGAAGGUGAAGAAAGAUAGAGGUAGUAACUGGCCUUUAUUUGACGGUAAUCAUUUAGAAAGUCACGGCUAACUACGUGCCAGCCGCCGCCGUAA